GUAGCGAAAGCGAGUCCGAAUAGGGCGUUCAGUUGCUGGGUGUAGACCCGAAACCAAGUGAUCUAUCCAUGGCCAGGAUGAAGGUGCCGUAACAGGUACUGGAGGUCCGAACCCACAAAUGUUGAAAAAUUUGGGGAUGAGCUGUGGAUAGGGGUGAAAGGCUAAACAAACUUGGAGAUAGCUGGUUCUCUCCGAAAACUAUUUAGGUAGUGCCUCGUAUAUCAUUCUCGGGGGUAGAGCACUGUUAUGGCUAGGGGGUGCAUAAGUACUUACCAAACCAUUGCAAACUCCGAAUACCGAGAAAUGCAAUUACGGGAGACAGACUGCGGGUGCUAACGUCCGUAGUCAAGAGGGAAACAACCCAGACCGACAGCUAAGGUCCCAAAUGACGUGCUAAGUGGAAAACGAAGUGGGAAGGCACAGACAGCCAGGAGGUUGGCUUAGAAGCAGCCAUCCUUUAAAGAAAGCGUAAUAGCUCACUGGUCGAGUCGUCCUGCGCGGAAGAUGUAACGGGGCUAAGCACGUAACCGAAGCUUCGGAUACUAAUUUAUUAGUAUGGUAGGAGAGCGUUCUGUAGGCCUGCGAAGGUGUUCUGUGAGGGAUGCUGGAGGUAUCAGAAGUGCGAAUGCUGACAUGAGUAACGAUAAGGGGGGUGAAAAACCUCCCCGCCG
rnacentral:rRNA from 1 species